GAUCAUGGCUCAGGAUGAACGCUAGCGACAGGCUUAACACAUGCAAGUCGAGGGGCAGCGGGGAGUAGCAAUACUUCGCCGGCGACCGGCGCACGGGCGAGUAACACGUGUGCAACCAACCCCGUACCGGGAGAUAACCCGCGGAAACGUGGACUAACAUCCCAUAAGACUCUAGAGCCGCACGGCUUUGGAUUUAAAAUUCCGGUGGUACGGGACGGGCACGCGCGACAUUAGGUAGUUGGCGGGGUAACGGCCCACCAAGCCGACG
rnacentral:rRNA from 1 species